UUCUUUUUCCUCUCUUUCCCAAGCUCAACUUUUCUUUUUUUUUUACGACAAAACUGUGGAGAAUCCGGGAAGAAUCAUGCAAUGAAAGUGCGGCAGAGGAGGGGAAAAGUCAUUUGAAGUCGUUUGGAGCUUGGAUUUGAAGGUCACCGUUUGUCAAAACACACCUUGUAUUUAAUCCAUAAAUCUACCGCAGUCAGAUUGAAAAUAUAAUCACACUAAUCAUGAACAGACAACUAAGGCUGCGCAUCAAUAUGACGAUAUCAAUAAAAGGUCUUCGGUCAUUGACCUCAAUUGAAAACCAAACAAAACACGCAAACCGAAUCAGACGUACACAAAGCACCCAGAUGGUUUCGAGUGGUCAUAAAUAUGAGCGAAUGCCUGCUGUAACAAGGUCAAUGAAAUAACAUCUGCGCCAGAAGGUGUUUGUAAGGGCAACAGAACAUUUGGACAAUAAUUAAUUGCUGCUGGCAGAACAAGCGUUGACAGAAACAAGAGGGAAGCUCUUCCAGUUCAAGACGCAAAUGAAAAAAUGCGCUCGAUGAAAUGAAUUGGUCAUUUGGAAGCUCGCAACAUUUUGCUUCCGCCGGCAUUGGUGCCAAGCGGAGGCCCAACAAAACGGUCGCCGUCUCCUGCAGUGUUCACGUUCAAGUCGGCGAGCCGAGGCCAAAUCAGAUUGCGAGGUGGGAAACGGCUGCCCGAUCAAGCCACUCUUCACGCUUGAUUGACAAAUUGAGAGCGAAGCGUCCGGCCCCGCCUUUCGCCCAAAGCAGAUCCUGACCGGGAUAAGCGGUGCAGAAAAUGGCCGGGUCGUUUGUGACGUUUUCUGCUGCAGCAAGCAAGCCAAUGACGGCGCUUCGUUUUCAGGAACUUCUCCUUUCGCAGGCGUUUAUCUCUGGAGUUCUCAUCUCGACAGGAAUGCUCUGGGGUCUUUUUUGUUGGCUUUUGUUCUCUGUUUUCCCACCGUUACCUUCUCAAUCUUUGCCACUGCCACCCGCCGGCAUUCAGCCUGAGGGGCCGCCGCCGAGACGGCAGGCGACGCCGCGAGUGUAUUUCGCCGCAUUUGCAACGGCGGCUGGAGUUUCUUGGCUGUGGGGCGCGGCGGGCCGAAACCAAACACACGCAGACGCGCGGUGGCCGGCCAUGCCCACGUUAUCUUCCGCCGAGGACUCUUCCAAACUUCUUGUCCGUGCGUCCGACUUGAAGGCCCUUUUGAGGGGAACUCUCCAAAGACAAAGCGCGGCGCUCUCAAAAAGGGGAUAACACGUCUAAUCCACUCACCAUCACGCCAACGGCCCACAACAAAUUUCCAUUUUGGCGAGAUGCUUUGACAGAGUGCAUUUUGCCCGAUUUGAAAUGCUAAAAGGAAUGAAUGCCCUGCAACAGAUGCGCCGGUUGCAGGUGGCGCCUUCCUGAGAGCAUAUGGCCACCUACGCGACAACAUGGCCGCCGCACAACCAGAUGGCUUUUCGGCCUCAUGUUUAAUGCAGCACACGA